AGGUGAACCUGCGGAGGGAUCAUUACCAAUAUAGCGAACCGAGCGUUAGCGAGGCUUCGCGAUCAAUUUGUAUUUAAAACCCAACUCUUUAAAUGUAUAUUAUUAUUGUAUUUUAAAUAAUAAAAAGAUCACUUUCAACAACGGAUCUCUUGGCUCUCG
rnacentral:misc_RNA from 1 species